UCUCAGUGACCAUCUGUCUGUUUUUGACUCUGAAACCUGGACUCAGGCUUUGACUGCUCCGUUUUCUGUGGUUGCAUUUUGUUCUUUUGACGUAAGACAUGACCUGUUUUCUGUAUAACUCUUUUCUGUUAUACCUAAAAAAACCAAAAUCCCAUAAACAACAUUUAGUUGGGGGAUAUAAUUUGAAUAUAUAUGGAAAUUUUCUUUAGAUGUAUUUACAUAAAGUGAGUGCCUCAGUUUGGGGUGCUUUUAAAUAAUCUUUUUCUUGAAAAGGAAAUCCUGUUUCAUAUGCUUUGUAAUCAGGAUAUCUUUUAGUAAUGGACUGAAAAGUACUAUUAUGUCUUACUCAUCUUCUUAACAAAAUGAACCAAAUGUCUAGGAAAAAAAUGGAAGGAUGUAUUUGACGGUUUGAACCACAGUGUGGAGACAGCGCACUUCCAGUUUUCUCGUAGAGCUUGCUGUCUGCUCAGGUAGUGCUGUUUCCCCUUUGCUGGUAAAUAUUGCAUCUCAUUUUGAGUGCACAUUAACAGUAUCAUAGAUACAAACCUGAGACAAAUGGACUCCUGCUACAAUGUUCACUCCUAACCAAAAAACAGUACCAGCUGUUCCAAGGCUCCUUAACAGGAUAUGGAGAAAACAAAGAGUGUUGAGCAUGGAGAGGAUGGAAGGAAAAGAAUAUCUUUUUCUUCACAAGCGUUUAUUGUUCACAGGCAGGAUGUUAGUCAAACAGGUCUCCUUGUUGUGUGGGGAAACAUCUCGUAGUGCAUUAUUCACUAGAAAAUGCCUCGUGUGUCUUUUCUUUAGUCAAACAGGGAACCACGGCGUGUCUGUGGUUCCAACAAAUAUGAGCUUUUAGACAUGGGCAGUGUCUGCGUUUGUGCUCCUGUUUUUGUAGCGGCUGUUUUGAACUCGGGUUUAUUUGUCAGUGUGUCAGUGGGAUGUUUGAUGCAGCUCUGCUUUUCUGAUGGUUGACUGCAGUGCUUUUUAAACCAGGAAUGAGGGCUAGGACUGCUGCCAAUGGGCAUACAUUUGGGAGGGGUACUGGUAAAUUUCAGUAAUCUGCUCUGCCAUGACUUACACAUUGAACCUUUACAUCUGGCAAUUCCGUGAUCUACCUAUUUAUCUACAUGCCACAGCUUUAUUUCUUCCCAUUACAAAGACAGCAGCACAUCUGCUUUACAGACCAUCAGAGGACAUGAAAACAAAAGCAACCCAAUUGCAAAUCCUCAUGGACAACACGAGGCCAGAACCUUUGUAUGUCAGUGUUUAGUCUGUAGAUGUUUGUAUUACACCACACUGAAAUAUUUGCACAGACAAGCAAAAGAAAACAGUUUUCUCCUUCUGCAAUAACAACAGAGACAGACCGUUUUAUUUACGAGAUUUUAUCAAAAGAGCUUGGCGAGAAGACGAGUUGGAAGGCUUUAUAAAAAACAUCAGUUUAUCUGUGACAAUGGAAGAAAUUCUUCACGUUUGAUUGGACAGAAAGAAAAUCCAUUUUCGAUUUUUCCCUGUUAAAGCCCAUUGACAUUUAUAUUGACUUCUUCUUACUGUAAGAUCAGAGUGU